UUAUCCACUUUCCCUGUGAACUGUUCUACUCCUUGACGCAAGUCGAGUAUUUUUACAAACAAUGUGUAAUGAACGUCGUUUUAUUAUAACAAAAUAAAACUUUCAACAACGGAUCUCUUGGCUCUCGCAUCGAUGAAGAACGCAGCGAAUUGCGAUAAGUAAUGUGAAUUGCAGAAUUCAGUGAAUCAUCGAAUCUUUGAACGCAGCUUGCGCUCUCUGGUAUUCCGGAGAGCAUGCCUGUUUCAGUGUCAUGAAAUCUCAACCACUAGGGUUUCCUAAUGGAUUGGAUUUGGGCGUCUGCGAUCUCUGAUCGCUCGCCUUAAAAGAGUUAGCAAGUUUGACAUUAAUGUCUGGUGUAAUAAGUUUCACUGGGUCCAUUGUGUUGAAGCGUGCUUCUAAUCGUCCGCAAGGACAAUUACUUUGACUCUGGCCUGAAAUCAGGUAGGACUACCCGCUGAACUUAAGCAUAUCAU
rnacentral:rRNA from 1 species